rnacentral:rRNA from 1 species
GUGAGGAAUAUUGCGCAAUGGAGGCAACUCUGACGCAGCCAUGCCGCGUGCAGGAAGAAGGCGCUACGCGUUGUAAACUGCUUUUAACCGGGAAGAAACCCCAGGACGUGUCCUGGGUUGACGGUACCGGAGGAAUAAGCACCGGCUAACUUCGUGCCAGCAGCCGCGGUAAUACGAAGGGUGCAAGCGUUAUCCGGAUUCAUUGGGUUUAAAGGGUGCGUAGGCGGAGCGUUAAGUCAGUGGUGAAAUCCUGCAGCUUAACUGUAGACUUGGCAUUGAUACUGGAGCUCUUGAGUGCGCUUGAAGUGGGCGGAAAGUGCCGUGUAGCGGUGAAAUGCUUAGAUAUGGCACAGAACACCAAUUGCGAAGGCAGCUCACUAAGGCGAUACUGACGCUGAGGCACGAAAGCGUGGGGAUCGAACAGGAUUAGAUACCCCUGUAGUCC